UACAGAGGGUGCAAGCGUUAAUCGGAAUUACUGGGCGUAAAGCGUGCGUAGACGGUUAUUUAAGUCAGGUGUGAAAGCCCCGGGCUCAACCUGGGAAUUGCCUUUAAGACUGCAUCGCUUGAAUUGUGGAGAGGUAAGUGGAAUUCCAACGUGUAGCGGUGAAAUGCGUAGAUAUCUGAAAGGAACAUCAGUGGCGAAAGCGACUUCCUGGACCAAUACUGACGCUCAUGUGCGAAAGCGUGGGGAGCAAACAGG
rnacentral:rRNA from 1 species